rnacentral:rRNA from 1 species
UGAGGAAUAUUGGUCAAUGGGCGGAAGCCUGAACCAGCCAUGCCGCGUGAAGGAAUAAGGUCCUAUGGAUCGUAAACUUCUUUUGAGCGGGAGCAAUAAGGUCUACGAGUAGACCGAUGAGAGUACCGUUCGAAUAAGCAUCGGCUAACUCCGUGCCAGCAGCCGCGGUAAUACGGAGGAUGCAAGCGUUAUCCGGAUUUAUUGGGUUUAAAGGGUGCGUAGGCCGUUGUGCAAGUCAGAGGUGAAAUCGCGGGGCUCAACCCCGUGUCUGCCUUUGAUACUGUAUGACUUGAAUGUUGUUGCCGUGGGAGGAAUGAGUAGUGUAGCGGUGAAAUGCAUAGAUAUUACUCAGAACACCGAUUGCGAAGGCAUCUCACGAAACAAUUAUUGACGCUGAGGCACGAAAGCGUGGGUAUCCAACA